rnacentral:rRNA from 1 species
AGCGAACGCUGGCGGCAUGCCUAACACAUGCAAGUCGAACGAGACCUUCGGGUCUAGUGGCGCACGGGUGCGUAACGCGUGGGAACCUGCCCUUAGGUUCGGAAUAACUCCCCGAAAGGGGUGCUAAUACCGGAUAAUGUCUUCGGACCAAAGAUUUAUCGCCUUUGGAUGGGCCCGCGUUGGAUUAGCUAGUUGGUAGGGUAAAAGCCUACCAAGGCGACGAUCCAUAGCUGGUCUGAGAGGAUGAUCAGCCACACUGGGACUGAGACACGGCCCAGACUCCUACGGGAGGCAGAAGUGGGGAAUAUUGGACAAUGGGCGAAAGCCUGAUCCAGCAAUGCCGCGUGAGUGAUGAAGGCCUUAGGGUUGUAAAGCUCUUUUACCCGGGAUGAUAAUGACAGUACCGGGAGAAUAAGCUCCGGCUAACUCCGUG